rnacentral:misc_RNA from 1 species
GCGGAGCUUGGCACUAAACAUGAGGGUUUCUUCCACUGUGAGGAGAGGAAAGAGGGUAUCUCUCUGUGUUACAUAGCCUGAUAUCUUCUUGAACUGAGCUCUAUCGACAGGAUUUUGAUUGACAAAAAUGGAACCAUUUUGUGGGGUAAGUUUUCCGGCUAGGACUUCAAGCAAGGAUGAUUUUCCAGCUCCACUUGGACCAACAACGGCGAGGAUUUCCCAUGGCUUGGCUUUGCAAUAUACGCCUUUGAGAACAUGCUUUUCUUGAAGAUUCGGUUCGAGUUCUUGAUCAAUUUGUUGAUCUUUGUUGAAGAUUUUAAAAGGGUAGUUUCUUUU